UACGAAGGGGCUAGCGUUGCUCGGAAUCACUGGGCGUAAAGCGCACGUAGGCGGACUCUUAAGUCAGGGGUGAAAUCCGGGAGCUCAACUCCAGAACUGCCUUUGAUACUGGGAGUCUUGAGUUCGGGAGAGGUGAGUGGAACUGCGAGUGUAGAGGUGAAAUUCGUAGAUAUUCGCAAGAACACCAGUGGCGAAGGCGGCUAUCUGGCCCGUAAUUGACGCUGAGGCGCGAAAGCGUGGGGAGCAAACAGG
rnacentral:rRNA from 1 species